CGGUUCGAGUCCGCUUACCUCCACUGAUCACCUCCUGACAGCGAACUCGAGGGAGAUUAUCUUUGUUGGUGUGAUAUAGAUCUGUUUUGCUAGAAAAGAACCUAGCUUAUUAUCAUUCCAAGUCUAAAUAUUGUUUGGCUUCGGUUGAUAUUACGCUGGGCUCACUACAAUCAAAGGUUGUAGAGAAGUUCAGCA
rnacentral:misc_RNA from 1 species